GGGGAGGGGAGGGAGGGGAGGGGAGGGGAGGAGAGCAUAAGUGUCCGGGGUCUGUCUUUUAAAGGCAUCCCCUACACCUGCGCAGACUCAGUCCCCAUGGAACCCUAGGCUGACCGGGGUCCUCCUGAGUGGAUUCUGCCAGGUGGCAGGGCAGGCCAGCACAAUGCCUGAGCCUUUCAGUCACAUAGCCAUAAAAAUGUAUUUUGAUCUCUCAACUCCCACCAUUCACUCAACUUCACACCUUCACUCUUUGAGAUGUCACAACAGCCAGAGGAAGUCGCUUACCGGUGUCAGCUGCACCCGGACGUCCCCCGGUAAACAAUGAACAAGACUAACCCUGGCGUGUGGCUUUUACUGAGGGCCGCGGUGUCAAUUCUUCUGUGACAGCAGAGUUCAAGUUACAAACGAGCAUCACUGAGCGCAGAGCUGGGAAGACCAGCACUCAGUGGUCUUUCAGCUGGUUUAAGUUGGCUCCAGCUCAAGGCUGGCCACAGCAGGGACCCUGAGUGAGGUCACCCAGGAAUUCUAAGCAUCAGCCACACUUAAUUUCUGACAUCUGAGACUCUUCCCGGCCACACUGCCUCACAACUGCCCCUGGACAAAGACGGCUGCUGGUGGUAUUCCCAUUACACAGAUGAGUAAGCUAAGGCCCAGAAGGCUGAUGAUUUGCCCAUGGUUGCACAAGGGAUGAGAAAAGAACACGGGCAUCGCCCUAAGUCAACUCACUCCAGCCCCGCCGUCCUUUCCUUCCUCCCCACCCCAUGAUCAAAUGGCUGCCCGGAGUGUGCUAACUCCAUUUAGGUGAUGUCCGCUCACGUUGACUGCAAGCAAGCACCUGACGUUGGGAAAUGUCAAGGGAAAUAAAGAGAGAGGAAAAUACCUCGACCUGAAGUUACAAGCCAAAGAGACUCCAGAACCGAGGGGUAUAGCCUCUGGCCUCUGUGCUUCCAUUCACAGCCACGACCUUCACUUCACCCUCCUCUAGCCCACACGUGUGUACCAAGCACCUGCCCUGCACCAAGCCCAGGCCUGCAUGCUGAGCUUUCACCCACAACAGCCCAGUUAAGGCCCCUGCCUUCGUCAAGAGGAUGUUCUAAAGGAAGAAGAUGAGGAGACCGGGUGAGAUAAAUGGGUGUAUGUUGGAACUGAGGCAGAUACAGACAGAGCUGGUCUCAGGUGGGGGCCGAUUCCAGUCGUAUAAAUGUCAGGCUGGCCUCCGCAAGCCAGCCCACAACUUUCAAAUCAACCCCGGGAGCUGUUUCUCUCCUUAUCAGAUCAUAGGAAAACAAGUCCCUUAUUACAAAAUCAUGAGAGACACCACCUGAGAACCCAGGCAAAGCAAGAACUGAUGCAGGGCCUCAGGACAGUGACUGCUAACAAGCCAGAGCCCCAUCUCCAAGGGUAAGAGGCCAAGCCGAGCGAGCCUGAGAAAGGGCAGGUUCCACGCGUGCUGGAAUAUUGUGGGAAGAUGACAUUAUCGUCAUGUCUUCAGGGUCGAACUAGAGAUGCUUGUAAAUCAAAAUUAAAUUACACUCGGUAUCAUGAACAAGAAUUUCAGCUUCCAGGACAUCACUAUGUUUGCACACAUGUGGAUUUUAUAUUUCAAAAGAUGAUACAGUCCGCAGCCAGCCCCGCCCACCCCGGACAGUGUUCUCUCUUUGAACCUGAUGCUUCUGACAUCUCCAGUCGGUGCUUGUUUGGCAUUUAACCGUGCACCGCCUGUGAACUUGACUUGUUUUCUUGCAUGGUUUCUUAUCUCUUCUAGCACUGAACUUCUCGAGCAAUGGUGACUCAUCUAGCAGCUGGUUUACUGGGAUCUCGUCUUACCUUCGUACUGUUUUUUUUUUUUAAAGAUUUAUUUAUUAUGUAUACAAUGUUCUUUCUGUAUGCAUGCCAGAAGGCCAGAAAAGGGGACCAGAUCUCACUAUAGAUGGUUGUGAGCCACCAUGUGGUUGCUGGGAAUUGAACUCGGGACCUCUGGAAGAGCAGCCAGUGCUCUUAACCUCUGAGCCAUCUCGGCAGCCCCUUCGUACUGUUUUAACCUUGAACACUAAUGUGGCAUUCAGCUAGCCUGCACGAUUUGCUGAGCAUCUGUUGUAUCCUGGGUACUUCAUAGACAGUGGAGAGGUGGCAGUCUUAGAGAUUGUAUUCUUAAGCGGGGGAGGGGGGUAUGGCCACCACAGAGAUGAAUAAUUCAUCCUGACACAUUAAGAGAGAAAGAAGGCAAAGGAUGCAAUUCUGAAAAAGAAAUAAAAAAUAAAAAAAACAUAUGUUGACGCUAGACAGUUGUCAGAGAGGAGAAAGCAAGGUGGAGAGUGGGUCCUUGCAGAAGUCUCCUCAAAGGUGACGGAAGUCGAUGAGUGUGUGAACACGGGCACACUGGGUGUGCUUCCCAACUGCAGGGUGAACAGCCUUCCUUAAACACGUCAUCACAAACCGUGUGACUGAAAGGGUUUUGAUCGCUGCACACGUGUGUAUAAUAUAUAAUUAUAUACAAGGGAUAACGUGUUGUGUCAUUCUUAUUGCUAUGACCAGUAUGUGUGGCUCUUCGUUGCUAUCUAAGACCAAAAUACUUUACAGAAACAACUAAAAGAGAUAAAGGUCUGUCGGGCGUUGGUGGCGCAUGCCUUUAAUCCCAGCACUGGGGAGGCAGAGGCAGGUGGAUCUCUGUGAGUUUGAGGCCAGCCUGGUCUCCAGAUUGAGUGCCAGGAUAGGCUCCAAAGCUACACAGAGAAACCCUGUCUUGAAAAACCGAGAGAGAGAAGAGAGAGAGAGAGAGAGAGAGAGAGAGAGAGAGAGAGAGAGAGAGAGAGAGAGAGAGAUCCAUUUUGCCCAGUUUUGGAGCAGUGAGUCGUUCAGGCGGGGACAGCUUGGUGGAGGGGAACAGAAAGCAGGGAGAGGAUACCAGCCCCCAAGGCUGGCUUUCUUAGUCCUUAUCUUUUAUUGCAUAGAGUCAACCCCCAGCCUAGGGGAUGGUGCCACCCAUGAUCAGGGUGGGUCCGUCUCAAAUCCACAAGUCUAAUUAGAUAAAUAAAUUUUAAAAAAAGAAACCUAGCAAGCAACACAGAUGGUUCCUCGGUCUCCUAGGUGUUUCCAAAUGCAGCCAACAGUAAAGAUGAACCGCCACACUCCAGUGCUUUGUAAAGU
rnacentral:lncRNA from 1 species